GCUGUGGCUUGAUGGCAUAGCCCAUCACUCUCUGCAUGUAGAAGGCCCCAGGUUCAAACCUUGGCAUCUCCA